GACGAACGCUGGCGGCGCGCCUAACACAUGCAAGUCGAACGGAGAUUACAGGCGGAAGUUUUCGGAUGGAAGCUUGUAAACUUAGUGGCGGACGGGUGAGUAACACGUGAGCAACCUGCCUAUCAGAGGGGGAUAACGAUUGGAAACGAUCGCUAAUACCGCAUGACAUAGCGGAAUCGCAUGGUUCUGCUAUCAAAGAUUUUAUCGCUGAUAGAUGGGCUCGCGUCCGAUUAGAUAGUUGGUGGGGUAACGGCCUACCAAGUCGACGAUCGGUAGCCGGACUGAGAGGUCGAACGGCCACAUUGGGACUGAGACACGGCCCAGACUCCUACGGGAGGCAGCAGUGGGGGAUAUUGCACAAUGGGGGAAACCCUGAUGCAGCGACGCCGCGUGAGGGAAGACGGUCCUCUGGAUUGUAAACCUCUGUCUUCGGGGACGAAACGAGACGGUACCCGAGGAGGAAGCCACGGCUAACUACGUG
rnacentral:rRNA from 1 species